GGUAGCGCAGGGGCCGGUGAGCGAGAAAGCGCUGCCCGAGGCGUGCAAAUGCCCGCGUGUGAGCCGAGAUCAGCGCGGGGCAGCGGUGGCGGAGCGGGAAGGUGACAGAGAGCUGUGGGGAGCGGCCGCAGAGGAAUGAGUUUCAAAAGGAAUCUUUGCAGUGAAUGUGACGAACCACCGAGCUGCCUGAUGCUUCUGCCUCGGCUCUGUCCUUCAUCAGAUUAAGUUCUCUUCUUACUUCAGCAAGCAGCAGCAGCAGAAAAUCUCUUAGAGUACUACAAGGUAGCUGUGCUGCAUUUCUGUCUCCUUGCCCUUCCUCAGUGUCUGACUGUUCACAUAUCACCAGUGGGAGAUAUCCAGAACCUAAGUCCCCCUUUGACAGGAAAUGGGACACUAGGACACAUCCUAAGGAUUUGCAUUUCCAGGUGAGGAACUUGUUUUCCUUCAUAGAGAAAAUGUUUGCUGCUGCUUGGAAUUACCCUUCUGGAUAUAAAGGGAGAGAAUCCUCUUCUCUCAGUACUUUUUCGUCUUAAGCCUAUGAUUUUAAGAAGAUUUUAGAAGUGCUAUGUUUAGGAAACUGCCUUCCUAAGCUAUUUUAGUCAAUUUUAGGAAAACCUACUUUUUAUUUCUGAGUUGAAAAAUACAGAGAGAAGUAGGAUAGCAUAGGAAUCUUCCACUUGAGGUUUUGCAGGUGACAAACCUUCCUGAAGCAGAUAGUCACACAUUUUACAGAGGCUGAACUGAAGCACAGGAAAAUUCACAUGUUAAUGUGGGAGAAAUAAUCACACAGAACCAAGGCAUCUGGACUCCCAAUCCAUUACUUGUGCCUGGAUUGUACCAACUGGUGUGAAGCUGUGUGCAGAUACUGUUUUAAUACUAUCAUGCUCCUGUUGAAAUUGCUGUAUAAAAUGCUGACAAUUAAAUAGAUGAAGAACAUGCUUUGAUGAUUUAUAUCCAGCAUCAAAAAGCUCCCAAUGCAAGUAAUGUACUAAUUUUGAACUUGCUCAUACAUGUAAGGAAUUUCAGCACUUUGUUGUAACAUGGCAAAAUGAAAAGACUUUUGUAAGUUAAAGAAGUGGAGAAAGAAAAGAGAAUAAACCCCUGGGUGGAUCUUUUUGGGGCCCUUUAUUUAGCACUUUGGUGCUAAAUAAAGUUCAGAUAGUUCAAAUAUCCUAGCAUGGAGAAUCUGCAUUCAGAAGUCUUCAGCAUGGUAGUUUAUGUUGCCAAUAAUAACAUUAAUAACAUUCCUAUUUUCUUUCUCUCUUUUUUUUUUUUGUUUACUUUUCUUAUAGUCAAACUAAGAAAAAAAAAUCACAGUCAGCAUGUGCCCUGUUUGUUAAAUAUCACUCCUAAAUAUGUGAAUAUUUUGGAUACACUUCAGACAUUAAACUUGACAAGUAGCUUUGACUUUCAUCUGUCUUUUACUAUUUCAUAGCUUUUGCUUUCACUGAAUAUUCCUUUGCUGAUACAUUUAUAAUUACCCAGCAAAAGCUACCAGAGCAACAACAGAGUAUGGUGACCAGGAAAUGACAAAAAGCAAGAUGACAAUCAGUGCAAUUUUGGCCAUCUUCCACUCAUUUUUCAUCCUCCGAUACUGUUUCUGGAGCUCUUUAUUUCCAUGUUUGCUUCCAAAUGUCUGAACAGACCUAGAGGAAAUAAACAUACAACAGCAAAAAAACAAAAGUAGGGAAUUGAGCAAAUAGCUUCAUAAAGUGGGGCAGCAAUUACUCUUCUGCUACUUUAGUCUAAAACUCCUGCACUUUUAAUGCUUGCUAAUGUAUGUGAGUGGUGCUUCACAAUCCAAUGCACUUCUGUCGCACUUAUCAGUGGCAAAAUUCAAAUGUGCUUCGGUGAAGAAAAUAGUCCUGUACCAGUAGAAUUUCCACAUAAAACAGGUAUUGAAGACAGUUGAAUAACACUAUGUUAAAGACAGUUAGAGGGGUUGUUGCUUGCCUGGGUCUCAUUUUCUCCCUGGCUGUCACUUUGUACUUCUGAGCUAAGUGACCAGACGCGCUGGGACAGACAGGACAGAUUCCUGCAGGUUACACACGUAGUGUCAGGCUGGCCUUGAUUUUUACUGCUAUAGUUUUUUGUUUCAGGGACCAGUGAUUAAAUGUUUUAUCCCUUGUCACCCUUUGUCAAACAUGGAAUUUGUAGUUCAAUUCCAUCUAUUUUUCUGUGGAACAGUUAUUUAUACACUGUCGUUAGGUGUCUCUGAUGUCCCUUUUGUAUUUCUUAUGGUUGGUUAAUUUCUGUACCCUUUUCCAUGUCAUUAGAUAAUAUACUGAACAGCUCUGGCUUAAAUUCAGGAAUGGCACUUCUAAGGAUCAUGCUUCUUACCAUGUUGACUAUUGACAGAAUUCUGUUCUGGUUGCCUGUCUCAGAUG